rnacentral:lncRNA from 1 species
CAGCGCCUAGCAGGAGGGGGUGGCCUGCCACUCAGACGCCCUUAAUGUAAGCCACGUAAGCCCUGUAUGCAGUACUCCCUGCCCUUGUCCCCACAGUGCUUUGCUCUAAAUUAUCAAGCUCUGACAAGACAUUGGUGUGAUGCAAAUCUUAGAUGAGGUUGCAGUUCCUGCUAUUGAAUUUGUAGUGAAACCUAAGUUUUGAAAAAUAUGACAACUUAAUAGACUAGCAAAUUUAAUAAUAGCAAAAACUCAAAGUGGCAGGGAUGCUGUAUUCUGUUACUAUCAUGAGGAAGCAAAACAUGGUGAGAUUUGCUUAUUUCAUUUCCUCUUACACACCUGUAAUUACUCUGUAGUGUGACUUUCAUGAUAAUUUUGCAUUUUUUGAUGUCCGGCAUCUGAAAGAAGGUAAUGAGUGAUGUUUCCGAAUUUAUUGGUGAUGUUAUCACACUGGAGCAUUCGUUUUUACAUGAACACAAAUCUCACAAGGUCAUUAUGUUUCCUCUUCAACAGGGGGCAGCUUAGAAUCUUAACAGCUGAGGGCUUAAGGCCAGCAUUCUUUAAGUACAGAGAAAGUUCUAGAAAUAAAGAUGAAUAGUAACGUCAGCAGAUAACAUUAAAGCAGUGGGUGUGCUCAGAGGACUUGCAGUAGGUGCUGUGGACAGAGCCAGUUCCAGACACAUGAAUAGCCUGAUGAACUAUGAGAGAAAACACAAGAAAGUGGAUUCCCCAUGUGCCAAAACGGAGCAAAAAUGGUUAGCGGUUGCUGAGGUGGUGGACAUAGGGCGAGACGCAGUACAUCAGGAUGCCCGCCCUUCUGCCGUGGCUGCCAGUGUGAGGGAAACAGGUCCCCACAUCCGUUACCAACUUUCUCGGAGGGUUUUCUUCUGGAGCUACUAGCACAGUUACUGUUGUUUCUCUGUGAAGCUGCUAGCUCUGGGACUUCUGGCAUUCACUUACCCACCAUGGGAGAGUCUGCCUGGAACAAAGAGAGGACUAUUGUUCUGAGGCAUCAUUGACAUCCCUGAAGCCACAUGAACCCCAGGAACUGCCCAUUCAUCCGAGUCAAUAAAUCCUUUUGUUCCUAAGCUGGUUCAAGUUGGGUUUGGUUAUAGACCACAUCAACCACCACUUGCC